rnacentral:tRNA from 1 species
GGGCAGAUGGUGUAACGGUCAAACACUACCACUUUCGACUAAGUCAAACUGUGGAGAUGAAUCGAUGAAGGUUCGAAUCCUUCUCUGCGCA